rnacentral:rRNA from 1 species
CAGCAGCCGCCGCGGGAAUACGGAGGGUGCAAGCGUUAAUCGGAAUUACUGGGCGUAAAGCGCACGCAGGCGGUCUGACAAGUCAGAUGUGAAAUCCCCGGGCUUAACCUGGGAACUGCAUUUGAAACUGUCAGGCUGGAGUCUUGUAGAGGGGGGUGGAAUUCCAGGUGUAGCGGUGAAAUGCGUAGAGAUCUGGAGGAAUACCGGUGGCGAAGGCGGCCCCCUGGACAAAGACUGACGCUCAGGUGCGAAAGCGUGGGGAGCAAACAGGAUUAGAUACCCGUGUAGUCCCUGUCUCUUAUAC